AUGAAUGGCCUGUUCUGGAACUGCAGAGGAGCAGGGAAGAAAGGGAUGACUACCUGCUUCUCUGACAUCAUCAAAGAUCAUUCCCUAGAUUUCAUUUGCCUUCAAGAAACUAUGAAGAAAACCUUCCCUCCUAAAAGUCUUAGGAAAAUUGAUCGUAUGAAUAACUUUGAUUGGAAUUGGGUGCCCUCGAAUGGUAAAGCAGGUGGUAUCCUGUGUGGUGCCAGGAAGGAAACCUUGGAAGUGAUCUCC
rnacentral:rRNA from 1 species